rnacentral:rRNA from 1 species
GAUGAACGCUGGCGGCGUGCCUAAUACAUGCAAGUCGAGCGAACGGACGAGAAGCUUGCUUCUCUGAUGUUAGCGGCGGACGGGUGAGUAACACGUGGAUAACCUACCUAUAAGACUGGGAUAACUUCGGGAAACCGGAGCUAAUACCGGAUAAUAUUUUGAACCGCAUGGUUCAAAAGUGAAAGACGGUCUUGCUGUCACUUAUAGAUGGAUCCGCGCUGCAUUAGCUAGUUGGUAAGGUAGCGGCUUACCAAGGCAACGAUGCAUAGCCGACCUGAGAGGGUGAUCGGCCACACUGGAACUGAGACACGGUCCAGACUCCUACGGGAGGCAGCAGUAGGGAAUCUUCCGCAAUGGGCGAAGGCCUGACGGAGCAACGCCGCGUGAGUGAUGAAGGUCUUCGGAUCGUAAAACUCUGUUAUUAGGGAAGAACAUAUGUGUAAGUAACUGUGCACAUCUUGACGGUACCUAAUCAGAAAGCCACGGCUAACCACGUG